AUGCACCUGGACCUAGGUGUGGCCCCAGCAGCGUUUUCUGCAGGCCUACCCAUGGUAGAAAUUAACAUAUCAAGUUCCCUGUCCCAGCCUGUGCUGACCCAGCCAACGUCUCUCUCUGCAUCUGUGGGAGCAACAGCCACACUCAUCUGUACCCUGAGCAGGGACAUAAGUGUCAGUGGGAAAAACAUGUACUGGUAUCAGCAGAAGCCUGGAAGCCCUCCCCAGUUUUUCCCGUACUACUACUCAGACUCAGACAAGCAGCCGGGACCUGGGGUUCCCAGUCGAGUCUCUGGAUCCAAGGAUACCCCCACAAACACAGCAAUUUUGUUCAUCUCUGGGCUCCAGCCUGAGGACGAGGCUGAUUAUUACUGUCAGGUAUAUACCAGUGUUGCUCAGCACAGUGAUAGACACAGAUGA